AAGUCGUAACAAGGUUUCCGUAGGUGAACCUGCGGAAGGAUCAUUAUUGAAAUAAACCUGAUGGGUUGUUGCUGGUUCUCUAGGGAGCAUGUGCACGCCUUGUCAUCUUUAUAUCUCCACCUGUGCACCUUUUGUAGACCUUCUCGGUCUAUGUUGCUCCAUUUACCCCAAUGUAUGUCAAUAGAAUGUUGUGUUUAUAAAAUCUAUACAACUUUCAGCAACGGAUCUCUUGGCUCUC
rnacentral:misc_RNA from 1 species